AGAACGAACGCUGGCGGCAGGCUUAACACAUGCAAGUCGAGCGCCUCGCAAGGGGGAGCGGCAGACGGGUGAGUAACGCGUGGGAACCUACCCAAUUCUACGGAACAACUGAGGGAAACUUCAGCUAAUACCGUAUACGCCCUACGGGGGAAAGAUUUAUCGGAGUUGGAUGGGCCCGCGUUGGAUUAGCUAGUUGGUGGGGUAAUGGCCUACCAAGGCGACGAUCCAUAGCUGGUCUGAGAGGAUGAUCAGCCACACUGGGACUGAGACACGGCCCAGACUCCUACGGGAGGCAGCAGUGGGGAAUAUUGGACAAUGGGCGAAAGCCUGAUCCAGCCAUGCCGCGUGAGUGAUGAAGGCCUUAGGGUUGUAAAGCUCUUUCAGUGGGAAGAUAAUGACGGUACCACAGAAGAAGCCCGGAUAACUCGUGCCAGCAGCCGC
rnacentral:rRNA from 1 species